UUGUGCAAAUAAGUCGGGGAAAUGUUAUUUAUGCCCGUAAGAUUUUUCGUGAUUAAAUAACUAAGGCCCUGGCCAGUCGCCUCGCAAGUCCGCUUGUGUAGCAGAAUGACAGCAGUUGCAACUUAGCCGAGCUCCAAAUGUGUCAGCAUCGGUUGCAUAUUAAUGGCCCGGAGGUGUGCAUGCCAAUUGUCAUGCGCUGAAAUGCUUGUUAACAACGUCGAUUGCUUUUGGCCAAGUCAGUCGUCUAUAUAUCCCCAGUCGCAGUCGCAGUCACAGCACCAGCCCCACCCCCAACCACAAAGCAAAUCGAACUCCACAUCCACUUCCAAAUCGGAGCCAAAACCAAAGCCAAAUCCAACUCCUUACUCAACUGAACCUCCUGCUCUGCCACUUUUUCCUCUUUUUAAUCAAAAAGAAGUCGAUGCUCCUGACUCCCGACUCCAGACUCCUCCCCCGUGGCAAUAACGCCACACAUUUGUAAUGUUGCUUCUGUUUUUGGCUGAAAGAGGAGCCCAGGAAGCAGCAAAGACAGCAGAGGAAAUGCACCGAAUGCUCACACUGAGAAAAACCAGCUGGCAGUAGACUACUAAGGUAAAACGUUAGUGUAAAAGAAGUCAAGGUGAAAUACCAUGCAAUAUUUUAUGUUCCAGAACACUUUAUAGUUAUUUGCGGUGCAUCUCUUAGAUGCAUUUUACAAGUUACUUUAAGGCAAUCAAUUUGUAGUCGAAUCGCGUGGAUCGCAAGCGGGCGGGCGGGUGAUGGGCUGGAAAAACCAAUCAAAAGAGCGUUGCGAACGCAAAUUGAACGGCAAAUGGUUGCAAGAUGAUAUUUCAAUACACCAGCUUGCCGGGAUCACCUGUGCACCGCACUUCCAAUCCUUUCACUCCCCUUUUGGCCAACACUUUUUGGCCAUAAAUUAUGGACGGGCGACGCCUGCGCGCAGUUUUCUUACUUUUUUGCAGUUAUGAUUAUCGCGCCAGGAUGGAAGAUGGGGCAGCUAAGCAACAUAUAUUUUCGCAGUUGCCGGAGCCACCGCCAGUUGCACUUUUUAUGGCCCCUCGCGUGUAUGGCAGCUUAAAAGUUAAUAAAACACGCCCAAUGAUAACAAGCCGCCAACAACAUAUACUCGUAUAUAUGUAUAUAUACAUAUAUAUAUAUUGCCCCUGAGGUCUUCAUCAUCGUUUCGUAUUUCCCAACUUUGUGAGAUGAUCCGCCAGAACCGCCAGCAUCCCAGUCGAUCCUCGCCAGGUUACCAGAAGUCUUCGGAGCUUCGAGCUCGUAGAAAAACAAUCAAUUAGGCUCACAAGUAGCUUCCAACUCCAAGGGAGCGCCAUGAGUUUUCGUCUCCCCCAUCCCCCAUCCCAAGAUCAUGAUGGUGAUGAUGGGGUUUCGGCUGGUUAGGAUGGUUAGGUUGGUACCCAUGGCUGGCAUGUUGCCCAGUGGCAUCGACACGACUUUGAUUCUCUUUCUGCACCGACUGGCAGGAGUUUUAUGGCCUGCUUUGGCAAAAUUUAUGUUACAUUUUUAUAGUUCCAGUGUAAAUUGACUUUUAAAAUGCAAAAAUUUAUCAUAGCAACGGGCUGCAGUAUGCGGGGGGAAGUCCCGCGCCAACUUUAAUUGCCUGGCUUCGCAAGACGGUGGCAACUCUGGCGGAAGCUUCGAAAAGUCAAAAGAAAGCUUUGUGAAUGGGGCGAUAAACAUCUGCGCGUUUUCAAGAGGAAAACA